ACAGCAUUGGGAGCGUCAAUGGCCACCAUGUUUAACAUAUAUAUAAGUUGUAUUAAUUUUUUUUUGUAGUUAUUUGAGAAAAUAUGGUAAGGGCUGUUUUGGCCGAUAAUUUUUUUAAAUUUUAUUUUUUAUUUUUAAAAUUUUUUAUACGUAUAUUAUAAUUAUAUUUAAUUAUAUUUUUUUAAGAUUUAAUUACUUAAUUAAUUAAC
rnacentral:lncRNA from 1 species